rnacentral:rRNA from 1 species
AUUGAACGCUGGCGGCAUGCCUUACACAUGCAAGUCGAACGGUAACAGGUCUUCGGAUGCUGACGAGUGGCGAACGGGUGAGUAAUACAUCGGAACGUGCCUAGUAGUGGGGGAUAACUACUCGAAAGAGUGGCUAAUACCGCAUGAGAUCUACGGAUGAAAGCAGGGGAUCGCAAGACCUUGUGCUACUAGAGCGGCCGAUGGCAGAUUAGGUAGUUGGUGGGAUAAAAGCUUACCAAGCCGACGAUCUGUAGCUGGUCUGAGAGGACGAUCAGCCAGACUGGGAUGGAGACACGGCCCAGACUCCUACGGGAGGCAGCAGUGGGGAAUUUUGGACAAUGGGCGCAAGCCUGAUCCAGCAAUGCCGCGUGCAGGAUGAAGGCCUUCGGGUUGUAAACUGCUUUUGUACGGAACGAAAAGCCCCGGGUUAAUACCCUGGGGUCAUGACGGUACCGUAAGAAUAAGCACCGGCUAACUACGUGCCAGCCGCCGCCGUAA